rnacentral:lncRNA from 1 species
CAGUACUAGGUUGUUUUCAUUUUUUCUUAGUGCUUUGAGAUAAAAGCUCUACAUAUUUUCACAAUACAUUUAUGCCACAAAAGUUCACAAUUAAAACAGACAUUAGGUGUAGUUAAAGGCAUUUCAACCAAGGACAAAAUAUGCUCGACUAUAUAGCGAUCAUACACUUCCUAUUUGUCAGUAGACUCAAUUUCAGACACAUUAUUUGUCUAUUACAGUACAGCUUGUAAUUUUCCAUGCAUUACAUGUUCGGACAGAAAUGGUCACACUAGCUUAUCCAGUUAUAUGCUAGGAAAUGUUUAGAUUGAAAACAGGUUGAAACAAGAAAGAAGGUUGAAGCUUUGUUGUCGCAUAUUGGGGUAAGUAAUGAGAUAGAAAACCCGACCAAUAGAGAUCACCAAACAUGCCACAUGCCACGAGCUCAACCUUUCAGUGUUGUUGAUCAGGAAAGCUUACUAAGGCCAUGAAAAAACCGGUGCUUUCUCCUUUUUGAGUGUCUUCUAGAUUCUUUUGUCAUGACAUACGGGACAAAAUAAACCUGAGAAUUAUUCCGAACGCCCAAAUUUUGAAGCACAUC